CCUGCUAUCAGACCAUACCUGUUUAAUAGAACAUUUCAGCUAAGAAAAGCAACAGAUUUUCAUGUGUUGAUUUUAUAUCUCAAAAUUUGCUGAAUUUUUAAAUUAGCUCUGACAGUUUUGAAUGUUGGAAUCUUUAGAAUUAGGACAUAAAACAUCAUGUCAUGUACAAACAGAGAUAAUUUUCCUUCUUUCUUUCCAAUUUGAAUAUCUGUUGUAUAUUUUUCCUGCCAAAUGGCUUUUCUUGGAACUUCCAGUAUUGUGUAAGCUAGAAGUGGCACAGUGAGCAUCCUCCUUUCUCUUCCUAACCUUAGGUGAAACACUUUCAGAAUUUCAUCAUCAACUAUGCUAUCAGCUGUGGCUUCUUCAUAUGUGACUUCAGCUAUUGGGAUAUGUCCAUCUAUUCCUACUUUAUUGAUUGUUUUUAAUCAUGAAAAUGUGUUCACCUUUGUCAAAUGCUUGUUCUGCAUCAAACAAAAUGAUCUUUUAUUUCUCCUCUUCCUUCAGUUACUGAAGUGGUAAAAUACAUUGUUUGAUUUUCACAAAUCCCAACUGGUCCUGGUGCAUAAUUCUUUUAAUGUGCCAUUGAAUUGGGUGCUAAAUUUUGUUAAGAAUUGCUGCAAUAAUAGUCCAAGAGAUGUUUGUCUGUAUUUUUCUCGUUAUGCCUUUGGUUGGUAUCAGGAUAAUGCCUGAGAAUGAAUUUCAAUAGGAUUCAAUAGGAUUCAGAAAUUUUUUGGGAAGAAUUUGAAGAGGAAUGUUAGUUUUCUUUAAAAGUGUGAAAGCAUUCCCCAGGGAAGACAAGUGGUCUGGAGCCUUUCUAUGUCGGGAGGCUUUUGAUUAUUGACUGAAUCUUCUUACUAGUUAUUGGCCUACUCUCAUUUUCUGUUUCUUCCUGAUUCAACACCUUGGUUUUCUGCUUUUUUGGGAAUGUGUCCAUUUUCUCUAGGUUAUCCAAUUGUUUGGUGUUCAUUUGUUCACAGUACUCUUUUAUACUCCCUUUCAUUUCUGUAAAAUUAUUCGUAUAUGUUCUUUUAUUUCCAAUUUUAGUUCUUUGAGUGUUCUCUCUCUCUUUGUUUUCCCCUUAGUCAAUCUAGCCAAAGUUUUGUCAACUGUGUUGUUAUUUUUGAAGGACCACUCUUGGUUUUGUUGAUUUUCUCUGUUGUUUUUCUAUUCACAUUUUAGUUUUCUCUCCACUAAUCUUGACUAUUUCCUUUCUUCUGCUAACUUUAGGUUUGGGGUUUAUUUGACGCUUCUUUUUCUAGUUUCUUCGAAUAUACUGUAAACUUACUGAUUUAUGAUCUUUUUUAACUGUCUGCAUUUUCAGUUAUUAAUUUCCUUUAUUAAUUUUCUUUUAGAGCUGCUUUCUGUGCACUUCACACGUUUUGAUAUUAUGUGUUUAUGAUUUUUAUUUUUUUGUCUUUUUAGGGCUGCACUCACAGCAUAUGAAAAUUCCCAGGCUAGAGGUUGAAUCAGGCUAGAGGUCAAAUCAGAGCUACAGCUGCUGGCUUAUGCCACAGCCACAGCAACGAGGGAUCUGAGCCGUGCCUAAAACCUAUACCACAGCUCAGAGCAACACUAGAUUCUUGACCCACUGAGUGAGCCCAGAGGUCGAACCUGAGUCCUCAUGGAUGCUAAUUGGGUUCAUUUCUGCUGCACCACAAUGGGAACUCCGGAUGUUGUUUGAUUUCUCUGUAUCCAGGACCAUUUUUUUUUUCUGUUAGUGAUUAAGUUUAAUUUUACAAAGUGUUUGACCAGUAGGCUGCACAAAGAGCCCUUCUCUCAGAUUCCAGUAAACUGUUUUGUCAUUCAUCCUGGGUGCCAAUGACACAUGCGUAUACUACUGUUAUGGCAACUGGCUUCUGUAACUAUCAGAACAGAUGUGUGUGGUAGACAGAAAAGAGCCCCCCUCCUCAAGAGAUUUAUGUCUUAAUACUCACCUGUAUUACUUUACACGUUUACUUUACACGGCAAAAGAGAUUUUUCAGAAAUGAUUAAGAUUCUUGCUAUUUGGAGAAUACCCUAGGUUAUCAAGAUGGCCCAAUAGCAGUGAUGAUGGGGAUAAAAUAAGAUAAUUAGUUAGUUUAAACAUCCCACUAGGGGAUUAAAAACAGAAAGGGAAUUUUUAGGGAGUUUGGGAGAGUGUCAUAAGCUAAUGACCACCCAGGAAAAGACUGCAGUAACCAAGCAAACAUCUACACUACCUUGAAGGAAGACCAAGAACCUCUAGGCUUCAGACACACUGGAGCCGCAAACCAGAUAGAAUAUAGGACAAUCGAUGUGGCAUCUGAAUCUUUUUACAUGAAGUCAAGGAGUUAAUGGUCCUGGAAGACCAGCAUUUCUGCAUAUAUUCAAGAUAAAAAUAUAGGUGAAAGGAGAAAAAAAAGAAAAAGCUAGCAAGAGGGGACAUUAUACCAAAACCUGAGAUGAAGUACCAUAUUUUAGUAUAUAGUACCACCCUUUUGCUAAUAAACCAUGACAUUCUGGUUAAACCAUAUAGGGUCAGAGGAGGAACUAAAAAUAUAAGCCUUGACAUCUCCCCCCAAAUGAGGAAGAAGGUGGUCUUCUCCCCUCCCCACUUUUUCUUGGACUAUGAAAAGGGAGCCUCUUCCUCUGCCAGUCUGCUUCUGUCUCUCACAAGCAUCCUAUGCUAAUAAGACUCACUCUCUGCCUACCACUUUGCCUCACGCUCAAUUCAUUCUGUGAUGAAACAAAAGAACCCGAGUUUCAGUAAGUCCUGACACCAGGUGAGUGGUUUCAACUAGAAGCCCGUGGGUUUGAGUCCCUUCCUAGUCGGAGAUGGUGGAUUUGAGUCCCAAUUUGAGUUUUGGCUGGGUUCAAAGCCCAUCAGAGAAGGAGUUGGCUUUGUAAUCACAAGGAAUGCAAAAAUGGAGAAAUACAACUGACAGUGGAGGCAAGAUUGGAGCAAUAGGAAGGUGGAAACCAUGAGACGGGGAGCAGAAACAGUCUCAAAAGUUUGGAAAGGAGUUCCCGUCGUGGCUCAAUGGUUAACGAAUCCGACUAGGAACCACGAGGUUGCAGGUUCCAUCCCUGGCCUCGCUCAGUGGGUUAAGGAUCUGGGGUUGCUGUGAGCUGAGCUGUGGUGUAGGUUGCAGAAGUGGCUAGGAUCCCGCAUAGCUGUGAUUGUGGCGUAAGCCAGCGGCUACAGCUCUAAUUACACCCCUAGCCUGGGAACCUCCAUGU
rnacentral:lncRNA from 1 species